UAAGCAGGAAAUGCGGAGCCGGAGCGAAAGCGAGUCUAAACAGGGCGAAUAGUUGGUGUUCGUAGACCCGAAACUGUAGUGAUCUACCCAUGAUCAGGUUGAAGCGCAGGUAAAAAUGCGUGGAGGACCGAACCGGUGAGCGUUGAAAAGCUUUCGGAUGAAUCGUGGGUAGCGGUGAAAUUCCAAUCGAACGCAGAGAUAGCUGGUUCUCCUCGAAAUAGCUUUAGGGCUAGCCUCAAGCAGUAAGCAUAGGCGGUAGAGCACUGAUCGGGAUAGGGUCCGUAAAGGAUACCGAACCCUGUCAAACUACGAAUGGUUAUGCUGCAGAGCUUGGGAGUCAGACUACGAGAGAUAAGUCCCGUUGUCAAAAGGGAAACAGCCCAGACCGUCAGCUAAGGUCCCCAAUGCCAUACUAAGUGGAAAAGGAUGUGGGGUCUCAUAAACAACCAGGAUGUUGGCUCAGAAGCAGCCACCAUUUAAAGAGUGCGUAAUAGCUCACUGGUCGAGAGGCCCUGCGCCGAAGAUUCCCGGGGCUAAAGUAUGGAACCGAAGCUACGGAUGCGGUACUUGUACCGCGUGGUAGAGGAGCGUUCCCAUUGGGUUGAAGUCGUCCUGGAAGGGACGGUGGACUGGUGGGAAGUGAGAAUGUUGGCAUGAGUAGCGAAAAGAUAGGUGAGAAUCCUAUCCACCGAAAGCAUAAGGAUUCCUGAGCAACGAUCGUCGUCUCAGGGUAAGUCGGGACCUAAUCCGAGGCAUGGAGCGUAGGAGAUGGACAACUGGUUGAUAUUCCAGUACCGGCAGCAAUCGUUUGAACGAUGGAGUGACGCAGGAAGGCAGGUCCGCGCGAGAAUGGUAGAUCGCGUACAAGCGUGCAGGCUGGUGCACAGGCAAAUCCGUGUACUGAGGCUGAGGCGUGAUGUGGAGGGAACUUGUUCCCGAAGGGAUUGAGCCUACGCUGCCGAGAAAAGCUUCUAGUGAGAAAGCUGCCGCCCGUACCGUAAACCGACACAGGUAUGCGGGGAGAGAAUCCUAAGGUGCGCGGGAGAACCCUCGUUAAGGAACUCGGCAAAAUGUACCCGUAACUUCGGGAUAAGGGUAGCCACAGUGGUGAAGGGACUUGCUCCUGGAGCCUAGUGUGGUCGCAGAGAAGAGGCCCAAGCGACUGUUAACCAGAAACACAGGUGCCUGCGAAAGAGAAAUCUGAUGUAUAGGUGCUGACACCUGCCCAGUGCUGGAAGGUUAAAGAAGGAUGUCCGGGUUCGACCCAAAGCAUUUGACUGAAGCCCCAGUGAACGGCGGCCGUAACUAUAACGGUCCUAAGGUAGCGAAAUUCCUUGUCGGGUAAGUUCCGACCCGCACGAAAGGUGUAACGAUUUGGGCACUGUCUCAACGAGGGACCCGGUGAAAUUGAAAUACCUGUGAAGAUGCAGGUUACCCGCGACUGGACAGAAAGACCCCAUGGAGCUUUACUGCAACCUGACAUUGGUUUUUGGUAAAUAAUGUACAGGAUAGGUGGGAGACUGAGAAUAUGGUACGCCAGUAUCGUAGGAGUCAAUGUUGGGAUACCACCCUUUAUUUACUGAAAAUCUAACUGAAUGAAUAACAAACAUCAAGACAGUGUCAGGCGGGCAGUUUGACUGGGGCGGUCGCCUCCGAAAGAGUAACGGAG
rnacentral:rRNA from 1 species